rnacentral:lncRNA from 1 species
GAUAUAUAUGUUCAAUUGACAAUUUAGAAACUUUGGGAAAUAUUUUUAUUUUCCGAUGAUGUCUUAUGUUUUUGACUGAAUGGUUGAAAGUCAAAGCUAUCAAGGAAAUCCUGACCAUUAUGAACACGUAAGUUCCCUUUCUUUAUCUCUUACAAGUUACAAAUGUUGUUAUGAUCUGUUAUAAACACUACCGAAGAUAAAGUUGAUUUUUUUUCUUUCAGUUCGCGUUUUGAAGGCAUUGACAUAUAUGCUGUUCGUUUAAUAAACGCCGGCGUCAGCGGCAGCGGCAUAAAUUAAACCUACGCAUGCAACAAAUUCAUUGCUGUUCGAACUAAAAUCAGCCGCAACAGACAACGCGAGACAUGAAAACGGAGCUGCCGUUGACGCAGAUAUUUUCAGCGUCAAUCCAAUAUGUCGCGUCUUUACCCAGCCACACCAAAAACCUCCGCCAUCCCCAUUUUACUCUGUUAUCCGAUAUGAUUCCGGUUGUGUUUUUUGUUCGCAAACGCUGACGCAGCGAUUGACAAAAGAACAGAGAUAUAGUAUUUUUGAGUUGUUGCGUUACGUGAAACUUUUGGUGUCUAAUUGGUUCACUCUUUUAUUGUUGACUAUUGACAUGCAAUUGUUGAUGAAGACUGCUGCUUUGGGACAAAUCUGUUAGAGAACGCCUUCGACGACUUUGGUAUCCCAUUACUCAGGAACACGAAAUGGAGAGAAGAGGUAGGUUGGCUCGGCUUAUGGCUAGGCUUGAUAUUGGCGGCCAGUUGGAUAAACUGAUUUUUUUUUAUCUUCAUGUGACUCAAAUAGUUUCCUACUAACUUGUGCGCGCA